UACGUAGGGGGCGAGCGUUGUCCGGAAUUACUGGGCGUAAAGGGUGCGUAGGCGGCCGUUUAAGUUGGAUGUGAAAUACCCGGGCUUAACCUGGGGGGUGCAUUCAAGACUGGACGGCUAGAGUGCAGGAGAGGGAAGCGGAAUUCCUAGUGUAGCGGUGAAAUGCGUAGAUAUUAGGAGGAACACCAGUGGCGAAGGCGGCUUUCUGGACUGUAACUGACGCUGAGGCACGAAAGCGUGGGGAGCAAAC
rnacentral:rRNA from 1 species